GCGCGCGCAAUCGUAAAAUUUCACUCUCAUCAAUUUUUCAUAACGCGGCUAAAGAAGUAUAACUUCAUAAAUAUCAAUAAACAACAGAUUAAUACAUACACUGACACAUAACAUAAUCAUCUUUAGGUAUAAAAAAAUUAGAAUUAUCACAUCAAUAAAAAGCAUAGAGAAAGGCUAAUACAACCUAACUGAAUCUUCAUCAUAGUACAAUACAAAUUGAAAGUAAAUCUAGAACUACACGAAGUUGUCUAACGUAAGAUUGAUAGAUCAAUUUCCAAAGGGAUCAAUAAAUCGCAAGAAUGUCGAAGAUAAUUUUGGCUAUUUUCUUAAUCGUCCUGUGUGGGCUCAUUUUUGUUACUGGACAAGGAAAGGAGUGUCCUGGUAUACCUUGUAAGGAUGAAAAAGAUUGUGACCCAGACAGAGAAAUCUGCACUAUAUAUUAUGUUGAUGAGAAUAAUAAUACAUUUUGGAGAUGUGAACUUAUUGUUUCUUUAUGAAAUGUAAAUUUGGCGCCUUCAGCAAUUAUAGAAUACAUCACUUGUUGUCUAUGUCAUAUCUGGUAUCUAUGAUUUGCUCUGUGUAUAAGCCUACUUCUUUUUUCGCCAUUGUCUGGUUAACAUUAAAAUAUAAUUAAUACAGUGAUUAAUAAAA